UGUGGCAAGUCAUAUUAAUGACCAAGAAUGACUUACUUGUAACUUAAUUGUUAUGUGCUUUUAAUAUGUGUUUCAGGCAGUGGUGUUGCAUCUUUUAUAUGCAUGGUUGUCCUGAAGUCAUUCUGGAACAGGGGUUGUGUUCAGGUGCGUGACAACUGACAACAUUGAGAAGACCCAGGAGCGGGAGAAGGGCAGCCUGAUGAAAGAAGGCGACAGUGUUCUGUGGUCACACCUGAGAUGAUGGUCCUGAAGAGGAACGAGAGGAGAUACUGGGCAUAUAAAUACAGGCACUGGUCAUCACAGUGGAGGACAAUCAUGAAAAGGUUGAGGACUUCACUGUGCCCAUCCCUGAAGUCCCUCCACUCGGUGCAGCAGCUCUUUCCACCAUACUGCUAUGCUCUGGGUUGUCCCUGCCACCAUCCACCUUUUGGGUCAUCCGUGCCGCCAGCCAUCACCGUGCCUGCAGCGCCUGGGUCAUCCGUGCCACUCCCCACCAUGCUGCCAGCCAUAACUGUGCCUGCAGCACCUGGGUCAUCCCUGCCACCAUCCACCGUGCCUUCAACGUCCACAGCACCUCCGGUCUCUGUGAGCCAGUUUGCAGCUCUACUGGCCUCUCCAGUAUACAGUAUGCUGUAAUUGCUAAUGGUUUCUCUGA